UGGUGGACUAGGCCGGGCAAUUAGGCGUUGCCUGUCACCCCAAACCGUCUUCAUGGGGGGGCUGAAAGCCGGGAGGCGAAUCCGAAGCCCAGGUUCCGGUCCAACUUGGAACUAUGACUUCUCGUCUCACUGGACUGUCCGCUUAUGGAACCUGGUCAGGCCCGGAAGGGAGCAGCCAUAACAUUUGCGUGCGGUGCUUGUGAGGUCGCGGGAGAGAGAACCAAGCUGGAGCAACCGAAUCCUAGACGACGGACUCCACUCCCGGAGCGUCCGCCA
rnacentral:SRP_RNA from 1 species